rnacentral:rRNA from 1 species
GAUGAACGCUAGCGGCAGGCUUAACACAUGCAAGUCGAGGGGUAUAUGUCUUCGGAUAUAGAGACCGGCGCACGGGUGCGUAACGCGUAUGCAAUCUGCCUUUCACAGAGGGAUAGCCCCGAGAAAUUUGGAUUAAUACCUCAUAGUAUAAUCAAGCCGCAUGGUUUAAUUAUUAAAGUCACAACGGUUAAAGAUUAGCAUGCGUCCCAUUAGCUAGUUGGUAAGGUAACGGCUUACCAAGGCAACGAUGGGUAGGGGUCCUGAGAGGGAGAUCCCCCACACUGGUACUGAGACACGGACCAGACUCCUACGGGAGGCAGCAGUGAGGAAUAUUGGACAAUGGGCGCAAGCCUGAUCCAGCCAUGCCGCGUGCAGGAUGACGGUCCUAUGGAUUGUAAACUGCUUUCGUACGAGAAGAAACAUCCCGACGUGUCGGGACUUGACGGUAUCGUAAGAAUAAGGAUCGGCUAACUCCGUGCCAGCCGCCGCCGUAACAC